CUGAGGUCUGCUCCAAGAGCUGUUUCAGGUGGCUCUGAUGUUAUCAGGAGUAGCUGGAGGAACAAAGGCCUUUCUACAGAAAAAACUGGCAGGGAUCCUUCAAAUUCCUGUGGCUGAGGGCUAUGAGCAUUCACGUUGGUGCUGGCAAAGCCCCGUG
rnacentral:lncRNA from 12 species